ACGCUCGACACCUACGGGAGGCGGCAGUAGGGAAUCUUCCACAAUGGGCGCAAGCCUGAUGGAGCAACACCGCGUGAGUGAAGAAGGGUUUCGGCUCGUAAAGCUCUGUUGUUGGAGAAGAACGUGCGUGAGAGUAACUGUUCACGCAGUGACGGUAUCCAACCAGAAAGUCACGGCUAACUACGUGCCCGCAGCCGCGGUAAUCUGAGCGGGCUGGCAAGGC
rnacentral:rRNA from 1 species